rnacentral:rRNA from 1 species
GAGUUUGAUCGUGGCUCAGGGUAAACGCUGGCGGCGUGCCUAAAACAUGCAAGUCGAACGGACUAUCGCAAGAUGGUCAGUGGCAGACGGCUGAGUAACGCGUGGGUGACGUACCUGUUGGUGGGGAAUAACUGCCCGAAAGGGUGGCUAAUUCCGCAUAAGUCCUUCGGUUCGAUCUGAAGGGGAAAGCUUCGCAAGAGGCGCCGAUGGAGCGGCCCGCGUCCGAUUAGCUGGUUGGUGGGGUAACGGCCUACCAAGGCGACGAUCGGUAGCUGGUCUUAGAGGAUGACCAGCCAGACUGGGACUGAGACACGGCCCAGACUCCUACGGGAGGCAGCAGUUAGGAAUUUUGGGCAAUGGGCGCAAGCCUGACCCAGCAACGCCGCGUGGGUGACGAAGGCCUCGG